UUAACUCAAAUUAGUAUGGAUUAGUAACGUUCGCCUACGGUUGCCGCUAGGGGCGCCGUUCCAACUGCAUACAAAUUUGAGUUA
rnacentral:pre_miRNA from 1 species